rnacentral:tmRNA from 1 species
GGGGUCGACUGGUUUUGACAGCAGGUCUAAUUUAUUAUUUGCAAGUCGAGUGUUGAAAAAAUCUCGUAAAUCUAUUUUUCAAACUUUAAAUGGCGAAAAUAACUACGCUCUAGCUGCAUAAUUGACUGAAUUAUAGUAGGUCCUUUGCAUAUUUCAACAAGGUUGAAAAGCUAGAUAUCUCAUAAAAACUUUGAUUAGCAGUUUUUAUAUUUGAGAUACCAUGAGUUAAUCUAGAGUUUUACAAUCACUGGGUAAAACUUGAAUCUAAAAGUGAUAAGGUUUAUAUUAUGGUUGCUAUCUACCUAAUAUUUUCUCGAAAAACUAAAGAUAGAUAAACUUGUAGAAGGUAAUUUAAUUACUUGUUUGGACGCGGGUUCGAGUCCCGCCGACUCCAC